GAGUUUGAACCUGGCUCAGGAUGAACGCUGGCGGCGUGCCUAACACAUGCAAGUCGAACGGAUCCAUAUUGAAACCUAGUGAUGUAUGGAUUAGUGGCGGACGGGUGAGUAACGCGUGGAUAACCUGCCGUAUACAGGGGGAUAACACUUAGAAAUAGGUGCUAAUACCGCAUAAGCGCACGGUUCCGCAUGGAACAGUGUGAAAAACUCCGGUGGUAUACGAUGGAUCCGCGUCUGAUUAGCCAGUUGGCGGGGUAACGGCCCACCAAAGCGACGAUCAGUAGCCGGCCUGAGAGGGUGAACGGCCACAUUGGGACUGAGACACGGCCCAAACUCCUACGGGAGGCAGCAGUGGGGAAUAUUGCACAAUGGGGGAAACCCUGAUGCAGCGACGCCGCGUGAGUGAAGAAGUAUCUCGGUACGUAAAGCUCUAUCAGCAGGGAAGAAAAUGACGGUACCUGACUAAGAAGCCCCGGCUAACUACGUGCCAGCAGCCGCGGUAAUACGUAGGGGGCAAGCGUUAUCCGGAUUUAC
rnacentral:rRNA from 1 species